CUAGAGACAGAGUCUUCCCCUUCGGGGGACAAAGUGACAGGUGGUGCAUGGUUGUCGUCAGCUCGUGUCGUGAGAUGUUGGGUUAAGUCCCGCAACGAGCGCAACCCUUAAGCUUAGUUGCCAGCAUUAAGUUGGGCACUCUAAGUUGACUGCCGGUGACAAAUCGGAGGAAGGUGGGGAUGACGUCAAAUCAUCAUGCCCCUUAUGAUUUGGGCUACACACGUGCUACAAUGGACAAUACAAAGGGCAGCUAAACCGCGAGGUCAUGCAAAUCCCAUAAAGUUGUUCUCAGUUCGGAUUGUAGUCUGCAACUCGACUACAUGAAGCUGGAAUCGCUAGUAAUCGUAGAUCAGCAUGCUACGGUGAAUACGUUCCCGGGUCUUGUACACACCGCCCGUCACACCACGAGAGUCUGUAACACCCGAAGCCGGUGGAGUAACCAUUUAUGGAGCUAGCCGUCGAAGGUGGGACAAAUGAUUGGGGUGAAGUCGUAACAAGGUAGCCGUAUCGGAAGGUG
rnacentral:rRNA from 1 species